rnacentral:rRNA from 1 species
GCUUGUCUCAAAGAUUAAGCCAUGCAUGUCUAAGUAUAAACAAAUCUAUACUGUGAAACUGCGAAUGGCUCAUUAUAUCAGUUAUAGUUUAUUUGAUGGUUCUUGCUACUUGGAUAACCGUAGUAAUUCUAGAGCUAAUACAUGCAUCAAACCCCGACUUUUGAAGGGGUGUAUUUAUUAGAUUGAAACCAAUGCGGGUUCCCCGGUAUUUGGUGAUUCAUAAUAACUUUCGGAUCGACUUCGGUCGAUGCAUCAUUCAAGUUUCUGCCCUAUCAGCUUUGGAUGGUAGGGUAUUGGCCUACCAUGGCUUUAACGGGUAACGGAGAAUUAGGGUUCGAUUCCGGAGAGGGAGCCUGAGAAAUGGCUACCACAUCCAAGGAAGGCAGCAGG